UUUCAUAACUGUUCGUUAAGGUGGUUGCUUAAUGCUCAUGUUUUACUAAUCUGUUGGUUUCAGGAUUUGUUGAGCAUUCGCAGCCUAAUUGUUCCCUCUAAGAGUGUCUUGUCUAGGAAAAGCAUUUAAUUGUCUGUUUAAACCGGAACUUCAUUUCAUUUCUGCAUUUAUCACUGUUUAAGUUACAUCUGGUGUCGGAUAUUAACAUGGUUGGUGGCAGAGGACGUGCAAGAGGCAAGUCACAUAGAGGAAGACAGUUAGUCUCAAGAAGAAGUGAAGCUGGUUUUGCAACGGAAUCCUAUCAGGUCACACCAGCUAAUCCAGCUCCUUUCCUUCAGCGAAUUGUUGAUGAGUUGCCAGAGGAUCCACACCAGCAACAAGUACUCAAUGAAGAAGCCGAAGUUGAAGAAAUGGAAAGUUUAAAUCAAACAGCUGAUAAUCGUGAGGAAGAAGAGGAUCGCCAUCCACCUGUAAAGGAGCAGGCUCCUCCCGGAGAGCCCAUUGCUUUAUUCACUGUCUAGUCUUGGAAGGCGGCAUGGCGGCAUAAAUUUUAAUCUUAAAACCAUAUGUGACACCAAAGACAUGGAUUUUUUUCAAUUUUUCUUCUUUCUAUUUAUCACAAAAAAAGUAUCUUAUCUGAUCUUAUCUGAUCUUCAGGGGUAAAAAAAAAUAUGAAAAAAAGUAUCUGAUCGGUAUUUUUGUAGAUAGUAUCUCUAUCUUUUUUUUCAGCAUUUAUUUCGACUGUCUGAUCUGAUCUUUAGGUUUGUAGUUGACCACCUAUCGGUAUCUGAUCUUCAGGCCAAAAAAAAAGAGAUCUGAAACACUGAUUUUUAUAGUUUAAGAACGACAAAUUCCAAUAAAAUGUAGCCCCCUUGGCCCCUU